CUUGCCACCGAUUUAGUUUUCCAUGUCCCGAUUUUUCCGCCUGCCUCCCUCUCGCCUAACGCACGCCCCCUCCUAGCGCUAUCCCCGCGAUCUAGGGCGACGGCAUCGGCGCCCCCCGUCCCCUCUCUCUCUCUUUCCCAUCUCGCGUUUCUGUCUCCAAUCUCCCGCCGAACGUCGGACGUACGUGCUUGCGCCUCCCCAUCACGCGCCGGCGACCACUCGCCAGCGACGACCCGAGGUCACCGACGCGGGGACCCAAGGAUUCGUUGCCGCCGUUCAGAACUACUUCGUCGACGGCGUCAAUGGGGGCUUUGGCCAGAGCUCCUGGCCUUCCGCCGCCGCAGCCGGGUUCGUCCCCCAGGCAUACAUACUGCCGAUCAGGACGCCGUCGGAUCCUCUGUCGCCGGUCCUCUCCUUCCUCUCACAGUUCAUGUAGCCCCUACUUCCUCCCCUGAUUGUCCAGGUUAGUUCCUGAUUUCGAAUUGGUUGUGUAGUUGUGCUGCAGGCACUUCACGGAUGAGAUUUUCUCAUCCUGUUCUCGCCUCCUCAUGUGGUGCCACCUCCUCACGUCGUGCAGCCUCCACACGCGAAAGCCACCGAGUCAGGAAUCGGAAGUGCCAGUCUGUGCAUCGUGUUCUCACGCGAAGCCCUAGUAUCCAAAAUUAAAGAAUUCAAGUGAUACAUAUAUUGUUUGGAA